UACGUAGGGGGCAAGCGUUGUCCGGAAUCAUUGGGCGUAAAGAGCGCGUAGGCGGCCCGAUAAGUCCGCUGUGAAAGUCAAGGGCUCAACCCUUGAAUGCCGGUGGAUACUGUCGGGCUAGAGUCCGGAAGAGGCGAGUGGGAAUUCCUGGUGUAGCGGUGAAAUGCGCAGAUAUCGAGAGGAACACCUGCGGCGAAGGCGGGUUGCUGGGCUGAUACUGACGCUGAGGCGCGAAAGCUAGGGGAGCGAACGGG
rnacentral:rRNA from 1 species